rnacentral:rRNA from 1 species
UUGUGGCCUUUAGACAUACUACCAACGGCGGCGCGCGCGUAAGCCUCUUGGAACAGAGCGUCUACGUGGGUGAGAAUCCUGUGUUUCGCUUGAUGCCCGCCGUGCACGGUACUUGCUCUCAGAGUCACGCUCCUCGGAAUUGGAGCGWAWAUUGGGUGGUAAAUUUCAUCUAAAGCUAAAUACAGGCUCGAGACCGAUAGCAAACAAGUACCAUGAGGGAAAGAUGAAAAGGACUUUGAAAAGAGAGUUAAAAGUGCUUGAAAUCGCUGAACUGGAAGCGAAUGGAACUAGUGCUCUGGUUGAGAGUGCUGUAAAUGGCUGCGACAUCUGGGCUCUGGAACGCAAGUCCUUUGUCUGGCUUGAAGUAGUCGCUUGCAAUGUGUCUCAGCUUGAACAUCAACUUCUAUGCAUACGUGAGGAUGGCCCUUGGCUCAUGCUGUGUUGCUGUGGCGAUACUCUUGUGCUUCUGGGGAUUCAGG